rnacentral:rRNA from 1 species
CUGUAAUAUUGAAAAUAAGGAGUCGGACCUGCCCAGUGAAAUUUUUUAACGGCCGCGGUACCCUGACCGUGCAAAGGUAGCAUAAUCAUUUGCCUUAUAAUUGAAGGCUAGUAUGAAUGGUUUGACGAGAGCAUAACUGUCUCUUUAUGAUUUAAUGGAAAUUUAUUUUUGGGUGAAGAGGCUCAGAUGAUAUAAAAAGACGAGAAGACCCUAUCGAGCUUUAAAGAAUUUAGUAAAUUAUAAAACUUAAUAUUGAAUAAAAAAUUAGUUACUAAAAAUUUUAGUUGGGGCGACUAAGGAACAAAAAAAGCUUCCCAAAUUAGUGUUCAAGCAUACAAGUAUUGAUCCAUUAACUGUGAUUAAGGGAAUCAGUUACCGUAGGGAUAACAGCAUUAUCCUUUUUAAGAGUUCUAAUCGAAAAAAGGGUUUGUGACCUCGAUGUUGGACCAGAAUGUCCUAAAGAUGCAGAAGUCUUUAAGGGUUGGUCUGUUCGACCAUUAAAAUUCUA